rnacentral:pre_miRNA from 17 species
GGAUGAAGAGUUUGGCGAGGCUGGAUUUUCUCUUUGGUUAUCUAGCUGUAUGAGAUUGUUGAACCAUCAUAAAGCUAGAGAACCGAAUGUAAAAACGGCUUCGAGGUUCACCGGGAAGCCC